rnacentral:lncRNA from 1 species
UUUGCUUUUUAAAAAAGUCAGUAAACAAUGAUAAGAAAUCAUAACUUUUUAAAAUUAUUCUUUUUUUUUUUUUUUUUUGAGAUGGAGUCUCACUCUGUUGCCCAGGCUGGAGUGCAGUGGCUUGAUCUCAGCUCACUGCAACCUGCACCUCCUGGGUUCAACUGAUUCUCCUACCUCAGCCUCCCGGGUAGCUGGGAUUACAGGUGUGAACCACCAUGCCUGGCUAAUUAUUAUUAUUUUUUUUUUAUUUUUAGUAGAGACAGAUUUCACCAUGUUGG